UUGCUUUCGGAACGACCUACAUGUUUAAUGAGUUACAAAGCAGAACUGAGGCUUUUGAUCCUGAUUUUUCUCUCAGCUCCAACAGGUAAAAGAUUGUCCUCACAGCGUUAGGGUCUGCACUGAAGAGCUGAAAACAAGGCUCAUGGGGAACUGCUAACUGAAAUACAAGGUUGUGGCUUUAAAAGGAGAAGUGAAUGUAUCAAGAUGUUACAGUUUGUCAGGAGGCAGAAAAGAAAGGUGUGGUGUGUUGACCUUGGCCAGCUGACCACAUUGCUCUCUGUUCCCCUCCUCACCAAGUCAGUGGGAGAAAACAAAAAUAAAAGCUGAUAGGCCAAGGUAAAUGUAGGGAGAUUACUUACCUAUUCCCAUUGUAAGCAAAACAGGCUCUGUGGGCCACCAGGCCGCCUCUGCUCUUAGCACUCAGUGCCCUCCUCCUUCCCUCAGCAUUUUUUUCUGGCCUCAGUGUUAGCAGAGUUGUUUUUGCUUUUCCUUUACUUUGCACUGCUCUCCAGUGUUUUGCCCUUUCUGGAACAUUCGCACAGCGGCACCAGCGAUUCUUCUGAUGGGCUUAGCUGUGGAACCAGCUGUGGUAGGCCAGGCCCUUCUCCUCACAGAACCCGUCCUGCAGCCCUGCUGAUGCUAGCACCUGGCUGCCCGCAACAAAAGGAAAGGCUUGGUACCACACUGCGGAAACCACAAUCUGCUGUCCUCAUGCCAAGAUCAUAUGGGUGCUGAGCCAAGAGAACAACACAUCCCAUUCUGUGGCUCAAUGUGUCCACUACCAGGUCAGUGCUGCAGUGAAAGUCUAUGUAAUCUACUUCUUGGCCUGUCUCAUGUGGUUUCUUCUAUUCAUGUGUUUUCAGCUGUGUAACCUUUUGAAAAAGCCAUCUUUCUGGUUGUGGUUUUGCGUGCAUGUGUUUGCCUCACCUAAAACAAUAGAUAGUAAUACAGUCAAAAUCUGCCUCUAGCUGUUAGAUUUCCACAGUAUAUAGUGUUUCUCCACAUUUUACAGACAUUUCUGAAAGUUUGACCUUUAUGAUACAAGUCAUGCUGUCCCACAGUACAGAUAGUAGCUUUUUCAGUAUCAGCACGAGUGCUUCUCAAACUGUUCUAUAUGAACUUGACAAGGAUUACCAGUGUAUUCUGUCAUUUUCAUGGAUUACUUUCUCCCAGGUAUUGUAUUUGAAAGACAGAAGUUACAAUUUUUCUUAGUAUAUUGACAUAUUUUUAACCUGAAGUAUCUUAAACCAAAAAGACCUGCACUCCAAAAAAGCAGCCCCACAGUUUCACUAUAAGUUUUUUUACAGUGAUAUCUAAAAGAGCUUGUGGUCAAGGUAAUCAAAUAUUACAGUUUUCUCCCCUCUACGUGUUGUAUAUGCUAUGGAAAUUUCCAAACAGCAAACGUUAGCCUAGGUGUUUCCUACAAUUACACCAUUGUAAAUAUUGCAUUGCUCAGUUUAGCUCCAGAUCUUCUGUCAAUCACAGUGUAGGGUUACUUGUAUUUUGCAGCACUUGACAGUAAAUGUUAAUGACAAAACAAUAAAAUUCUGAGAGAUAAGUAGCA
ensembl:lncRNA